ensembl:snRNA U1 U1 spliceosomal RNA
AUACUUACCUGGCAGGGGAGAUACCAUGAUCACGAAGGUGGUUUUCCCAGGGCGAGGCUUAUCCAUUGCACUCCGGAUGUGCUGACCCCUGCGAUUUCCCCAAAUGUGGGAAACUCGACUGCAAAAUUUGUGGUAGUGGGGGACUGCGUUCGCGCUUUCCCCUG